CUUCAAGGACCGAUGCCCAGGUCGGCAGCACCCGUCUGUGGGAUUUCCAGAUGACGACCCAUCAGAGGAUGUUUUACGGACAAGAACCCUGCUGGGAUUCGGCGCGGGGUCAAAGAUUGCCGCGAGCUCCCCGCAGCGCAGAGCAAAGCUGGCCUCUGCUGCCGACGUACCGGCUCUGUUACGAAGGGGGACGUCAAGGUAAAGCCUUGAGCCUCGCCGGGGCGGCAGCAGGUCCCCACCGAGCCACGACGCCUUGUCCCGAGGAGCCGAUGAGUGAUGGCGAGACGAGCCGGCGGGGGGAGAGGGGGAGAAGGGAAAUUAAAUGUUGCUGUCAUCUUUUUGUCUGAGAGAGACGUCGCUGAGCGGUGCUGCUGGCACCGGCUGAAGAUCAGUCCCCGGCUUUACAACACACAGGGGCAAUUAAGUUUUACACAGCGCCUCGCGUUCCGUAGUAAAAUUCAGUGUCACCCUGAGAUCUGCCGGAGUCCGGCGCGCUCGCGGUCGGCUGCAACGCCGGGGCUGCCUGCUCGCCGGCGGAGGAGCGAUGCCAGUAUUUCCCUGGGGAAGCACCUGGCAGACGUCAUUCCUGAAGCCGGUUUGCAGCUCCGGUGCGGCAGCUGGCCGCUCUGGCCGCGGGCAGCGAGGGGCCGCGGUUGGGGUUUUCCCCUGGUCGGCUGCAGUUGGGCAGAGCGGCACGGGGACAGCGUGGUGUCCCCCGCAGACGCCCCAGACGGUCCCUGCGGCACGGCACGCCGGUGCCCAGCACCGGGCAAGGAUGGGUGCUGGCUGCCCGGGACACGGACGGCGGCAAUUUCCCUUCGCAGUUUCCCGGCGGCGCAGGGUUGUAGCGAUGCUGCGUGGCCACACGCUCGCUCUGCCAGAUUUCUCUGAACGAACGCUACGUUACAUGUCACAAGCAAGGUUACUGAAUGUUUUUUUAACUAAAAGCAUGCAAUGUGUAGGGUUUAAGUUGUUUAAUGAAGCAUGAUAAUUGAAUGGUAAUAGCUGUUCUUUGAAAGUCCUGAAAACAGAUGGAAUUCUGUUAGGAUCAAUGUAUUGUUUACGGGGAACUAAUCUAUCUCUGAAAGCAGCUGGUGAUUCGUUCUUGUUGUUUUAUGAAAUUAGAAAAUAUUGCUAUUUCUGAAGCACAUUUAUAAAACUUGCUCUCUACUUUUAAAGAGUGGGCUUAAGGGCAUUUACUGCAAUUCACAUUUAUCAAACAACGCACAUGUGGCUGCAUUACAAAACCAACUUCAAUUAAAAACAGAUUUGAGAAGUAAUGUGCUAUGUAGGCUGUAAAGCUCUAGUGGAAGGAAAAUGUACCUGGUUAAAGGAUCAAAUGCGGCUCUUAAAACCGGUGGUAUUUCCGCCUGUAAUACAGUUGUAUUCCCGUAAAACCUUUUGUUGGCAUGAUGCUGGUCAUGGAGAUGACCGCCAAAGUCAUUCUGCCAGUGACUUUGCAGAAUUUGGUCUGCUUAUAUGUACGGAGCAGUGUGUGAGUAACGAAGCAAGAAUGUGCAUUUUUUAAUGAACAUUCAGACAAAAUCUAUAUCUAAACAGGAAAUCAACGUUCGGGUCAUAAGGUGUGACAGGACAACGGGAAUCUUAAAUCCCACGGGAGAUAAAAAAUAAAAGGAGCAGUGACCACUGGGAUGUAUUUCAGGAGUUUUCUUCAGGUACUGCGCUUCAGGCGGUGUGUCUUAAAACCCCCUCGCCGUUGUACGUUACCAAGAUCCACUCCGAGCUCUGACGUGGCCAGCUGACUUCUGUGAAGAGUAAAAUGAAAAUGUUGUCGUGGAUUAGGGAAAGCAAAACAAGCCGGUGCCUUUCAGCGUGAGGCUGUGACAUGUCAGAACUGGCAAAAUAUUUCCCUGCGCAAGUUAUUAAAAAUGAGGAAA